CACCUUCUCGGAGAUUGUGCAUGUAUCCCUGCAAGUAGCUCCGCUUCACUGAUCUGUGGUAACGAUGCUCACACAACCACCUGGACUGGCUGCCGGCUUUUCCUUUAAGGUUCCAACCAGAUGUGUUCCUAAAUUCUCCCAUUCCGCUGUAUUUAAAGAGUGCAGCUAAACAGGAAGAAUCAGGAAUACAUU